rnacentral:rRNA from 1 species
UACGUAGGGGGCAAGCGUUGUCCGGAAUCAUUGGGCGUAAAGAGCGCGUAGGCGGCCCUGUAAGUCCGCUGUGAAAGUCAAGGGCUCAACCCUUUGGAUGCCGGUGGAUACUGCAGGGCUAGAGUCCGGAAGAGGCGAGUGGAAUUCCUGGUGUAGCGGUGAAAUGCGCAGAUAUCAGGAGGAACACCGGUGGCGAAGGCGGGUCUCUGGGCCGUAACUGACGCUUGAGGAGCGAAAGCAUGGGGGAGCGAACAGG